AACGAACGCUGGCGGCGCGCCUAAUACAUGCAAGUCGAGCGAGAAGACGUAGCAAUACGUUUGUAAAGCGGCGAACGGGUGAGGAAUACAUGGGUAACCUACCCUCGAGUGGGGAAUAACUAGCCGAAAGGUUAGCUAAUACCGCGUACGCUCCUUGGACUUCGGCUCAAGGAGGAAAGCGAUACCGUGGGUAUCGCGCUCUUGGAUGGGCUCAUGUCCUAUCAGCUUGNGGUGAGGUAACGGCUCACCAAGGCUUCGACGGGUAGCUGGUCUGAGAGGACGAUCAGCCACACUGGCACUGCGACACGGGCCAGACUCCUACGGGAGGCAGCAGUAAGGAAUAUUGCGCAAUGGGCGAAAGCCUGACGCAGCGACGCCGCGUGGGGGAUGAAGGUCUUCGGAUUGUAAACCCCUUUCGGGAGGGAAGAUGGAAUGGGGUAACCCAUUCGGACGGUACCUCCAGAA
rnacentral:rRNA from 1 species